UCAAGAGCAUCUCAUCCUCCGGCUGCUGAGUCAUCCUGCUCUGGCAGUUAUUUAAACAGAAGCCUCCAGGAGACAUACAAUCAACACUCCACUCAGACAAUGCCCAGACCUCCAGAAAUCAUGUGUCAAGCUUGGAUUGCCUUAGACAGGUGCAAUUUUAAAACAGCUUUCAUCCUCUUUUCUCUCAUAUUGUCACACUAUGGGUUCUGACUUCUGGCUCCUUUCCUCACAAGAAGCUCACCCAGCUGGAACUCUUAUGGGACCUUGGCACCAGAGACCACCAAUUCCUCUUUGAAGUUUUCUAACAGCAUCAUUGGUAUUUCUGACUUGGCUUUCUUGUAUUUCUCUCACGUUAACAAAACUGGUUGAGCAUCUACCACGGGCUACAUGCUGAGCUACAGGUGCUGUUGAUGAAACUGCCAAAGGAGCUGAAUAUGACUGACAUCUUUGGAAGGAUGAGACUUAGCGUGCCCGUACAGUUGUGUCCAAAUGCUGUCCUUAUCUCCCAAUGGAAAGCCUCACAACAAUUUCCAGCAUUGCCAGCAGCAUUCAGUACAUUCAGAACAGGAUCAUUUCACCCGCAGCUGAACUAGGGCCAUGCCUGGGACAGACAGAGAAUGGCCUUCCAGCAGACAUGCCAAGGAGCAAGCCAGGGUCACUGAGUGAAGAGGAGGGCAGGCCCAUUUGAAGCAACACAGUUUAUCCCCAAACAAGUCACAUGUGUAAUGCAGUGGGAGAGCAGUGCCCUGAAGGAAAAGGUGGCCGGCUGGACUGCCAAGAGAACAGACGUCCGCUGCAAGUAAUAUGAGCCGUCCCCAGGUUCUGCCUCCAUCCUGACGUCCAGUGUUGGAUUCCUCUUCACAUCAACCCCUCUCUGCAGGUUGGGCCAUCAGACCCUACCUCCUUAUUUAUGUUGAGCAAAGGAGAGAGAAUGCCUCUACAGACAACGAAAAAAGUGAAAAAAAAAAUCCUUCUCCUCCUUAUAACUUUAGUUAGCUUAACUUUAGUCAGUUUAACUUUAGUCAGUUGCUUAGCUACUAAACAGUAGCUAUUAGGAGGUGGGAAGGAAUACUAUUGUGUAAUCAACUAAGGCUCAUACAGAAGAUUAGGGUUAUCUGGAAUGAUUUGAAUUCAUUAGAAUUUACUCUCAGAGCUGUGGCAAUUCCUUGAACCACAUUGAUUGCUAUAAGGUAGAAGAGGAAUAGAUUGAAUUUUGGGGAGUCAACUACAAUGUGUACUACAGGUAAAUACUAUGAAUUUCCAAUUCACAGAUGAGAAAAUUGAGGCAUGUGCUGGGAGGGAGGUUAUGUAAUUUGCCCAAUAUCACAAUUGAACCUAGGCAAAAGCCUAUCUCCAGGUCUAACAAUUCAGUGACCUCCUGUGUACAUUUCUGUCUCUCUGUUUUUUAGAGUCGGGGUCUCACUGGGCCACCCAGGCUGGAUUGCAGUGGCUUGAUCAUGGAGAUCGUGGCUUUCUGUAGCCUUGAACUCCUGGGCUCAAGUGAUCCUCCUGCCCCAGCUUCCCGAGUGGCUGGGACUACAGGCUUGACAACACACCCGGCUAUCCUGUGUACAUUUCUUGAGAGCUUAUGAUAUAUAAGAGAAACUCUAAAAUAAGGGGAGGGUAUGCUAAGGGGAAGACCAAAUCACUAUCGAGGUGGAUUCAAUCCUACCUCUUUUAUUUCCUAGUUGUGUGACUCUUUUGAAAGGGGAAUAAUAGGCCAGGCACGGUGGCUCCUGCCUGUAAUCCCAGCACUUUGGGAGGCCCAGGCGGGCAGA